CAUCAAGAAGCUUUUAACAGCACUAGCCUUUUAAGCUUGAAAUGGAACCAAAUAUUCCCUUGAUGA
rnacentral:tRNA from 1 species